rnacentral:rRNA from 1 species
CCUACGGGGGGCAGCAGUGGGGAAUAUCGGACAAUGGGGGCAACCCUGAUCCAGCCAUGCCGCGUGUGUGAAGAAGGCCCUCGGGUUGUAAAGCACUUUCAGUGAGGAAGAACGCCUGGUGGUUAAUACCCAUCAGGAAAGACAUCACUCACAGAAGAAGCACCGGCUAACUCCGUGCCAGCAGCCGCGGUAAUACGGAGGGUGCGAGCGUUAAUCGGAAUUACUGGGCGUAAAGCGCGCGUAGGUGGCUUGAUAAGCCGGUUGUGAAAGCCCCGGGCUCAACCUGGGAACGGCAUCCGGAACUGUCAAGCUAGAGUGCAGGAGAGGAAGGUAGAAUUCCCGGUGUAGCGGUGAAAUGCGUAGAGAUCGGGAGGAAUACCAGUGGCGAAGGCGGCCUUCUGGACUGACACUGACACUGAGGUGCGAAAGCGUGGGUAGCAAACAGGAUUAGAUACCCCAGUAGUC